UACAGAGGGUGCAAGCGUUAAUCGGAAUUACUGGGCGUAAAGCGCGCGUAGGUGGUUUGUUAAGUUGAAUGUGAAAUCCCCGGGCUCAACCUGGGAACUGCAUCCAAAACUGGCAAGCUAGAGUAUGGUAGAGGGUAGUGGAAUUUCCUGUGUAGCGGUGAAAUGCGUAGAUAUAGGAAGGAACACCAGUGGCGAAGGCGACUACCUGGACUGAUACUGACACUGAGGUGCGAAAGCGUGGGGAGCAAACAGGAUUAGAUACCCCUGUAGUCC
rnacentral:rRNA from 1 species